GAUUGUUAUUUCCAAACCCGUGUCGUAAAAAAACUACUUCUAAUAUUCAUAUUAGCUGGCAACCAAUCAGUCUGCCAAUCGGAAGUGAAAAUGGACGUUACAACAUACAAAUGCUUCACUAAUUAUCUUGCCUAUUAAUAUUGUUGGAUAAAGAAUUAAUUGUAUUUAUUGUUAUUAAUUGUAUAUACAAUGCGAUGUUUAACGAGAGUGUUUUUUAAAGGUCAAUUAAACAUUAACAGUGUUACUACAAAAAUUUACAAUACUAAAGAUAACAUGAACAAAUUGAUGGUAGCAUUACCUUGUAAAAGCAUACGGAUAAAUUUAUAAAAGCGUAGACCUGAUAAGAUAUAAUUGAAAAAGUUAUGCAAUAUAUAACAUACAUGUAUAUAAAUCAAUCAUUAAUGAUUUGUCGGGCGACCGUCCUACGCAUACACUUAAUAGUGUGCAUACCAUUUCAUAAGUUUAUAAUGAAAUUGUGCCUGCUGACCAGACAAGUCUGUCAAUAUGGCGAACUAUGCGUUCCUUUGCGCACGAACAACCUGUGUUUGUUGUGUACUUUAUGCUCCCAAUACAAGGCAAUGAAUGAAUAUGGGCAAGAGCAAAGCAUCAGUCCGAUGAAGAAGACAUCUCUUAGUGACGUUGGCGAUGGAUAGGCCACAGUAUUAGCAAGCAUGCAUUCAAUACAAGGAAAUCUCUCACCUGACACCAAGAACGUUAGAGAACGGGAGAGCGGCCUAGCAACACCUCCGGCCGAGACAUGGAUGCAGAUGCUAAGCAGAUGUACAAGACGUUGGGACAGAUAGAGACUAGCCCAGACCCGAAAGCCUGGAGGAAGCUGGUCGGCGGCCUAUGUCUCGGACGGAAACAAAUGCCGAAGAUGAGAUGAGAUGCUGUGAUAGGUAAUUGGCCAAUCGCCAUAAAACAAAGACUACCGGAUUAUGCAAGACUUCAUCUCUAGAUAAUGUUUAUUGUGUUAAAAUUACCCGACACUAUGAGCGGCGGCGUCAACCUGAGGUGUACAGUAGUUUGGAAGGUCUAUGUGUUCGCAUUUAAGUGUUGAACAAGUGCAAUACAAUUUGUACACGAAAAUAAAUGUAAGAUCAGUAAUUGACAGUGUCGCCAUCAUGAGAACAUCCAGAAAACAAACAUACAAAAGUUCAUCUUGUUUUAUAACUGCACGUAGGUUUAUUUAUUGUUGUGGUGGUUUAAUUAGGAAAAUACGCGUACAAACGUUUGCUAUUGGUGAAAUUAAAUGAGGUCGGAUAUAUGUGUUACUUUGGGCAGUUUUAAGUGGUGUAAUUGAGCCUCGUUCUGGAAAACGGGACUUAUGUAUGUUUGUUACGUAUCGUCCCAGAUAAGCAUGUGCAUAUCAGUAUUAAAAAGAAAAAAUCCGCUAAGAUCAGCUAAGUACAUUUGCUUAUGGGUAUCGAUGAAACGAUAGUCAAUGGGAAAAUUUUACGUAUUACUUGUAAACAUGGACAAAAUAAGUAAAAUGCUUAUAAUAAAUAAAAGCUCUUUUACCAAA